rnacentral:rRNA from 1 species
UGGACCUACGGGAGGCAGCAGUGAGGAAUAUUGGUCAAUGGUCGGGAGACUGAACCAGCCAAGCCGCGUGAAGGAGGAAGGUACAGAGUAUCGUAAACCUCUUUUGUCAGGGAACAAAGACUGGGACGCGUCCCCGGAUGAGUGUACCUGAAGAAAAAGCAUCGGCUAACUCCGUGCCAGCAGCCGCGGUAAUACGGAGGAUGCGAGCGUUAUCCGGAUUUACUGGGUGUAAAGGGAGCGUAGACGGCGAGGCAAGGCUGAAGUGAAAA